AGCUUUUUGAAUCCGUGCUGAGAUUUCGUCAGACACCAACCCAUUAAGGCUGAUGAGACUUCCAAGAUAAGUGAAGUU
rfam:Schistosoma mansoni strain Puerto Rico chromosome W, complete genome